CAGUUUUGCUUCAAAACCUUCAGCCAGAAGGGAAAUGAUUACAAUUAUCAUCUCCCAGAUGUCCAGCCUCUACCAAGUCAUAAUUACUAGCUUUGAUUCUUACACUACCGAGGAGACUGUUAACUACCUGUCAUUGCUGACAGUGGCUCAGCUUCUUCAAGGAACCCGCACAGUACCACGCCACUUCAUUUGAAAGGGACGGAGUUAAAGCAAAGCCCCGGCUCUUCCGAGAGGCACCGCGCGGUCGGCUCCAACGGCGCCGCAGCGGGCCGGAGAAACGCGGGGUCCCCGCCGCCACCGCCGCCGGAGAAGCGGGCUUUCAGCCGCUCCGAGCCAUGGCUUCUUCUGCACCGAGCCUGCUCGGCGGAGGGAGGAGGGGAGGGGCCGCCAUCGCUAGGAGAGGAGGAUGUCGCUGGGCGUACCGCAGUCCCCGUCCCCCCGCGAGGUUGGUCGUGGUUGUGCGCGGCGCGGCCGCCGCAGCCCUCACCGCCCGCCAGAGCUGCCGCGGGGCUCCCCGGCUGGGGGGCCGCGGUUGGGGUGGUUAGGUGUCAGCGCCCUAGCCUCGGAGGGAGGGGGAAGAGGGAGUGUGCGCUCCGAGGGCCCUGGGGAGGAGGGAGGGUCUCAUCUCCCCACACCCAUCGCAGUGGUGCAGGGAGGACGCUGGUUUCAAUGUUACUAUAUUCUCCCGGGUGGCCGAGUCGGUGUGCGUUAUCCCUCUAGGACGGUUCAGCUUUCGGGAAGAUUUUGGUGGGGGUCGCGCACGCUAACUCCCGCUCAGGGGUGUUUUUUGGGGGCGACGCGAGGAGGACCUGGAGCACGGGGCAGCCCAGCAGGACAGCCCCCGUGCACAGGGAGCUUGGUAGUGACUGGCCUGUAUCAGCCAGCUGUUCAUUAUUAACAGGCACAGCAGCAGCAAUGUGCAACGAACUUUACAAAACAAACAAAGACAGACUCUCUCCGGGCGAGCUGCAGCUCAAGUUAAAGGUGACCUACAAGAGAGAAACGAUCGUCUCCGUGCUCUCAUUUGCUGCCUCGCUGUCCGUGCAAAAGCUGAAAUACGCUUUAUACGCUUUGUCUUUUCGUCUUCCCCCCCCCCCAAAAAAAAAAAAAAAAAAAAGACGGGAAGCCCAGGGCAGUGGUAGGUUUAUGGCAUUCCAGAUGCCGGGGAAGUCAAAUUGUAAUUUACAAUGGAAGGCACAAUUAUGUGAUUAGUCUUCAGUUCGAAACUCGGAAGGACGAUAUUCCCCUCUCCCCUUUUUUUUAGUUUAAAAGCCAAUGUUAACGGACGUGGAGGAGAAGGGAAGAGGGAACCCGCUGAUUUCUUAAAAAUGCACCAUUCUCGUGCCUUUUUAUUUAAAGGCUUCCCACAGUCUCCGGGUCAAUCUGUAGACAAGAACUCGAGCAACACACGGGUAAACAAGACUUCCCUUUUUUAAGUCGACCUCAGAGGCUUUCAGACCUUUCUCUGCCCUAAAGCAGGGAAGGGUGAGAGCCCGGGGGAGUGUGUGGCUGUACACUCCACCUCACGCCGUCCCAGCUUUCGGGGCAGAAGAAUUUCCAUAAUUCAACCCCAGGCAUCCCGCAGCUCUUCCCCCCCGCGAGCGCCAGUUAUUCGCUUCUCCUCGGGGCAUUUCACCCCACACGCGCGGGCUUUCCCCUCCGCCUAACCCUUGCCUCGCCGUGGCCUUUCGCAGUCCAAAGCGCUGUGAAACAUGAAGCCGCA